GACGAACGCUGGCGGCGUGCUUAACACAUGCAAGUCGAACGGAAAGGCCCUGCUUUUGUGGGGUGCUCGAGAGGCGCACGGGUGAGUAACACGUGAGUAACCUGUACCUGACUUUGGAAUAACUUCUGGCAACUGGGGCUACUACCGGAUAGGAGCUCCUGCCGCAUGGUGGGGGUUGGAAAGCUUCGGCGGUUGGGUAUGGCCUCGCGGCUUAUAAGUUUGUUGGUGGGGUAGUGGCUCACCAGGGCUUUGACGGGUAGCCGGCCUGAGAGGGUGACCGGCCACAUCGCGACGGAGCUACGGCCCAGACUCCAACGGUAGGCAACAGUGGAGAGUAUUACACAACAGGCGGGAGCCAGAUGCAGCAACGCCGCGUCCGGGAAGACGGCCUUCGGGUUGUAAACCAAUGUCGCCUGUGACGAGGCGUGAGUGACGGUAAUGUGUAAGGAAGCCCCGGCUAACUACGUG
rnacentral:rRNA from 1 species